rnacentral:rRNA from 1 species
AUUGAACGCUGGCGGCAGGCCUAACACAUGCAAGUCGAGCGGACGACAGGAGCUUGCUCCUGGAUUCAGCGGCGGACGGGUGAGUAAUGCCUAGGAAUCUGCCUGGUAGUGGGGGACAACGUUUCGACAGGAACGCUAAUCCCGCAUACGUCCUACGGGAGAAAGCAGGGGACCUCCGGGCCUCGCGCUAUCAGAUGAGCCUAGGUCGGAUGAGCUAGUUGGUGAGGUAAUGGCUCACCAAGGCGACGAUCCGUAACUGGUCUGAGAGGAUGAUCAGUCACACUGGAACUGAGACACGGUCCAGACUCCUACGGGAGGCAGCAGUGGGGAAUAUUGGACAAUGGGCGAAAGCCUGAUCCAGCCAUGCCGCGUGUGUGAAGAAGGUCUUCGGAUUGUAAAGCACUUUAAGUUGGGAGGAAGGGUUGUAGAUUAAUACUCUGCAAUUUUGACGUUACCGACAGAAUAAGCACCGGCUAACUCUGUGCCAGCCGCCGCAGUAAUAC